AGAGUUUGAUCAUGGCUCAGAACGUACGCUGGCGGCACGCCUAAUACAUGCAAGUCGAACGAAGUAGCAAUACUUAGUGGCAGACGGGUGAGUAACAUGUAGGUAUCUGCCCUUUGGCCUGGAAUAACACGAGGAAACUUGUGCUAAUACCGGAUAAGUCUUUACGGAGAAAGCUUUAUGCACCAUUGGAUGAGCCUGCACUUGAUUAGUUUGUUGGUGGGGUAAUGGCCUACCAAGACUGUGAUCAAUAGCUGAUUUGAGAGGAUGAUCAGCCACAUUGGGACUGAGACACGGCCCAAACUCCUACGGGAGGCAGCAGUAGGGAAUCUUGCACAAUGGAGGAAACUCUGAUGCAGCGAUGCCGCGUGAGUGAAGAAGGCCUUUGGGUUGUAAAGCUCUUUCGUCGGGGAAGAAAAUGACUGUACCCGAAUAAGAAGGUCCGGCUAACUUCGUGCCAGCAGCCGCGGUAAUACGAAGGGACCUAGCGUAGUUCGGAAUUACUGGGCUUAAAGAGUUCGUAGGUUGUUAAAAAAGUUGGUGGUGAAAUCCCAGAGCUUAACUCUGGAACUGCCAUCAAAACUUUUUAGCUAGAGUUUGAUAGAGGAAAGCAGAAUUUCUAGUGUAGAGGUGAAAUUCGUAGAUAUUAGAAAGAAUACCGAUUGCGAAGGCAGCUUUCUGGAUCAUUACUGACACUGAGGAACGAAAGCAUGGGUAGCGAAGAGGAUUAGAUACCCUCGUAGUCCAUGCUGUAAACGAUGUGUGUUAGACGUUGGAAAAUUAUUUUUCAGUGUCGCAGCGAAAGCAUUAAACACACCGCCUGGGGAGUACGACCGCAAGGUUAAAACUCAAAUGAAUUGACGGGGACCCGCACAAGCAGUGGAGCAUGUGGUUUAAUUCGAAGAUACGCGCAGAACCUUACCAACACUUGACAUGUUCGUCGCGACUUUAAGAGAUUAAAGUUUUCGGUUCGGCCGGACGAAACACAGGUGCUGCAUGGCUGUCGUCAGCUCGUGUCGUGAGAUGUUGGGUUAAGUCCCGCAACGAGCGCAACCCCUACUUUUAGUUGCCACCAUUUAGUUGGGCACUUUAAAAGAACUGCCAGUGAUAAGCUGGAGGAAGGUGGGGAUGACGUCAAGUCCUCAUGGCCCUUACGUGUUGGGCUACACACGUGCUACAAUGGUACUUACAAUGGGAAGCAAAGAGGCGACUCUUAGCCAAUCCCAAAAAAGUGCCUCAGUUCGGAUUGUACUCUGCAACUCGAGUGCAUGAAGCUGGAAUUGCUAGUAAUCGCGGAUCAGCGCGCCGCGGUGAAUACGUUCCCGGGUCUUGUACACACCGCCCGUCACACCAUGGAAGUUGGUUCUACCUUAAGGCAAAGCUUAAUACCUUUGAUCACGGUAUAGUCAGCGACUGGGGUGAAGUCGUAACAAGGUAGCCGUA
rnacentral:rRNA from 1 species